UGAGUACGAGACGCUAAGGCGUCGAAGUAGUGGAUGUCAUACUUCCAAGAAAAGCUUGCACUGUCAUAAGUAAAAAACGCCUGUACCAUAACCGACACAGGUGGGUAGGUAGAGUAUACUAAGGGGCGCGAGAUAACUCUCUCUAAGGAACUCGGCAAAAUAACUCCGUAACUUCGGGAGAAGGAGUGCCUUAUUCGUAAGGCUGCAAUAACAAGAUCCAAGCAACUGUUUAUCAAAAACACAGGUCUCCGCUAAGUCGUAAGACGAUGUAUGGGGGCUGACGCCUGCCCAGUGCCAGAAGGUUAAAGAAGUCGGUUAGCAUUAGCGAAGCUGGUAACUGAAGCCCUGGUGAACGGCGGCCGUAACUAUAACGGUCCUAAGGUAGCGAAAUUCCUUGUCGGGUAAGUUCCGACCCGCACGAAAGGCGUAAUGAUUUGGAUACUGUCUCGGAGAGGGGCUCGGUGAAAUAGACUUGUCUGUGAAGAUGCGGACUACCUGCACCAGGACAGAAAGACCCUAUGAAGCUUUACUGUAACUUGAAAUUGAAAUUGGACUUUAUUCGCGCAGUAUAGGUGGGAGGUGUUGAUUAUAAUCUUGCGGGAUUAUUGGAGCCAUCAGUGAGAUACCACUCUUGUAAUGUUAGAUUUCUAACUUUGAAUCAUUAUCUGGUCAAAGAACAGUUUCAGGCGGGCAGUUUGACUGGGGCGGUCGCCUCCUAAAUGGUAACGGAGGCGUACAAAGGUUUCCUCUGAACGGGUAGAAAUCGUAUCUAGAGUGUAAAGGCAUAAGGAAGCUUGACUGUGAGACCUACAAGUCGAGCAGGGACGAAAGUCGGUCUUAGUGAUCUGACGGUACUGAGUGGAAAGGCCGUCACUCAACGGAUAAAAGUUACUCUAAGGAUAACAGGCUGAUCUCCCCCAAGAGUUCACAUCGACGGGGAGGUUUGGCACCUCGAUGUCGGCUCAUCGCAUCCUGGGGCGGUAGUACGCCCCAAGGGUUGGGCUGUUCGCCCAUGAAAGCGGUACGCGAGCUGGGUUCAGAACGUCGUGAGACAGUUCGGUCCAUAUCCGGUGUAGGCGUUAGAAUAUUGAGAGGAGCCUUCUUUAGUACGAGAGGACCGAGAAGGACAUACCUCUGGUGUACCAGUUAUCGUGCCGACGGUAACGCUAGGUAGCUAUGUAUGGAGUGGAUAACCGCUGAAAGCAUCUAAGUGGGAAGCCCACCUCAAGAUAAGUAUUCUCAUC
rnacentral:rRNA from 1 species